rnacentral:lncRNA from 10 species
UCUCGGGUGAGAUCACCACGGAGCGGCUUAGCGCGGCGCACAAGUCUCGCGAGAGAAGCGGCGGCUGGGCCCUGCAGGCGGAGGAAGUGGAAAAAGUCGCGGGAGGGUAGGGGACCGCGGAACUUCUGGUUGCUAUGACGACGGCAAAGCCCUGGAUUCCUGUCUCCUGCGGAGAGCAGAGGCUGCAAACAAAUGAAAAGAGGCUUGCUCAUGACUUGGAAGCGGUGGGCUGAGGCCUCCCAAGACCAUCUGGCUUGUUCCAUUGCCAGCCAGAGUGGAGGCGACAUUCACACGAACCCAGGAGCUGCAGGGGCGCGUGAGCUACAGCUGCCUUGUGGCAUCCAAGGAGUGCGCAGUGAGAUUCCGCAGGAGAAAUCACGCUUUGCAUGUUCUUGAGUACAAGAAACAUGUGUAAUGAGGGUUUUUGUUUGCGGGCAUGCCAAGGAGAACGACUGGAAUAUUAAAGUCAUCACAGCCUUUAUUUAAGGGAGAAGAGGACAAGCAUGAAUAUGCUGAUAGUUCAGAGAUAUUUAGGACCUUCAGCAGCUCAGCACUCAUCCUAGAUUUAUACAAAUACCUUUCCAGAGAUGAAGUUUUUAAAAGCCUUUUAAAGGAAUUUUAUUUGUUCUUUUCACGUGGGGAAAAGUGAUGAGUAUAUCUAUGCAAGUAUGAGAAAUGGCCAAGGCCACUCCAUGUAAUUUUUUACUUAUCCUAUAGCUACACAAAGAAAAUAGCACCAAGUGUUGUAGAGGAAAAUCUACUAGACUUCAAGCCCGGCUUGAAUUCAAUUCUGUGCUCUAAUUCAGACUCUAUCUUUACUUAGCUGAGUCAUAUAAAUUAUUUAAUUUUCUAGACUUCUCACUUCUCUUUCUUUCUUUUUUUUUUAGACUAGUCUCACUCUGUUGCCCAGGCUGGAGUGCAGUGGCGCGAUCUCAGCUUACUUCAGCCUCCGCCUCCCGGUUUCAAGUGAAUUCUCCAGCCUCAACUUCACAAGUAGCUGGGAUUACAGGGCAUUCAAGCAGCCCUGAGGAGAGGUCCACAUGGUGAGCCACUGAGGGCCUUGCCAAGAGCCAGCACCAACGGUCCAGGUUUGGAGUGUACCACCUUGGAAGUGAAUCUUCCAGUCCAGUCAAGCCUUCAGAUGACUUCAGAACCGUCCAUGUAAGCCACUCUUGGAUUCCUGACCCACAGAAACUGUUGGAGUAAGUGAUGUUUCUGAAGCACCAAUGAAAAUGAAGUCCUGAAGUCCUGUGCUCAAUAUGAAAUGUUGGAAGUUAGAAGAAAAAAACAAAACUUGGAUCCAAUCUCAAGGCACUUUUUGUUUAAUGGGAAGAAGUGGAUUAUUUUAAAAGCUACAAAUAAAGUUACAUAAAAGUAGCAAA